rnacentral:rRNA from 1 species
GAGGGCAAGUCUGGUGCCAGCAGCCGCGGUAAUUCCAGCUCCAAUAGCGUAUAUUAAAGUUGUUGCAGUUAAAAAGCUCGUAGUUGGAUUUCUGUUAAUACCUUAUAUAUAAUAUUUUUUUUUAAAUAUUAUUAUGUAAGAUUAACAUAAUUCAUAUUUUUUAAGACUGAAUUUUUAGUUUUGAUAAUAUGAAAUUUUACUUUGAGAAAAUUAGAGUGCUUAAAGCAGGCUUUUGCCUUGAAUACUCCAGCAUGGAAUAAUAAUAAAAGAUUUUUAUCUUUUUUUUAUUGGUUCUAAGAUAAAAAUAAUGAUUAAUAGGGACAGUUGGGGGCAUUUGUAUUUAACAGUCAGAGGUGAUAUUCUUAGAUUUGUUAAAGACAAACUAAUGCGAAAGCAUUUGCCAAGGAUGUUUUCAUUAAUCAAGAACGAAAGUUAGGGGAUCGAAGACGAUCAGAUACCGUCGUAGUCUUAACCAUAAACUAUGCCAACUAGAGAUUGGAGGUUGUUCCUUACUC